CGCCUGGGGAGUGCGGCCGCAAGGUUAAAACUCAAAUGAAUUGACGGGGGCCCGCACAAGCGGUGGAGCAUGUGGUUUAAUUCGACGCAACGCGAAGAACCUUACCUGGCCUUGACAUGCAGAGAACUUUCCAGAGAUGGAUUGGUGCCUUCGGGAACUCUGACACAGGUGCUGCAUGGCCGUCGUCAGCUCGUGUCGUGAGAUGUUGGGUUAAGUCCCGUAACGAGCGCAACCCCUAUCCCUAGUUGCUAGCAGUUCGGCUGAGAACUCUAGGGAGACUGCCGGUGACAAACCGGAGGAAGGUGGGGAUGACGUCAGGUCAUCAUGGCCCUUACGGCCAGGGCUACACACGUGCUACAAUGGUGCGCACAGAGGGCUGCAAACCCGCGAGGGGGAGCCAAUCUCACAAAACGCAUCGUAGUCCGGAUCGCAGUCUGCAACUCGACUGCGUGAAGUCGGAAUCGCUAGUAAUCGUGAAUCAGAAUGUCACGGUGAAUACGUUCCCGGGCCUUGUACACACCGCCCGUCACACCAUGGGAGUGGAUUGCACCAGAAGUGGUUAGUCUAACCUUCGGGGGGACGAUCACCACGGUGUGGUUCAUGACUGGGGUGAAGUCGUAACAAGGUAACCGUA
rnacentral:rRNA from 1 species